rnacentral:tRNA from 1 species
AACGAUGUAGUUUAAUUAAGAUGGGUGCUCUGCAAGCAUCCGGUAGAGUUCAGUUUCUCUCGUCGUUG